CCUACGGGAGGCAGCAGUGGGGAAUAUUGCACAAUGGGGGAAACCCUGAUGCAGCGACGCCGCGUGAGCGAAGAAGUAUUUCGGUAUGUAAAGCUCUAUCAGCAGGGAAGAAAAAUGACGGUACCUGAGUAAGAAGCACCGGCUAAAUAUGUGCCAGCAGCCGCGGUAAUACGUAGGGGGCGAGCGUUAUCCGGAUUUACUGGGUGUAAAGGGGGCGCAGACGGCCAUGGCAAGCCCGUUGUGAAAGGUGCGGGCACAACCCGCAGACUGCACUGGUAACUGCCUGGCUGGAGUGCCGGAGGGGU
rnacentral:rRNA from 1 species